rnacentral:rRNA from 1 species
AGAGUUUGAUCCUGGCUCAGGAUGAACGCUAGCUACAGGCUUAACACAUGCAAGUCGAGGGGCAGCAUGAUUGAAGCUUGCUUCAAUUGAUGGCGACCGGCGCACGGGUGAGUAACACGUAUCCAACCUGCCGAUAACUCGGGGAUAGCCUUUCGAAAGAAAGAUUAAUAUCCGAUGGUAUAUUUUCUCCGCAUGGUGAGAAUAUUAAAGAAUUUCGGUUAUCGAUGGGGAUGCGUUCCAUUAGUUUGUUGGCGGGGUAACGGCCCACCAAGACUACGAUGGAUAGGGGUUCUGAGAGGAAGGUCCCCCACAUUGGAACUGAGACACGGUCCAAACUCCUACGGGAGGCAGCAGUGAGGAAUAUUGGUCAAUGGACGAGAGUCUGAACCAGCCAAGUAGCGUGAAGGAUGACUGCCCUAUGGGUUGUAAACUUCUUUUAUAAAGGAAUAAAGUCGGGUAUGCAUACCCGUUUGCAUGUACUUUAUGAAUAAGGAUCGGCUAACUCCGUGCCAGCAGCCGCGGUAAUACGGAGGAUCCGAGCGUUAUCCGGAUUUAUUGGGUUUAAAGGGAGCGUAGAUGGGUUGUUAAGUCAGUUGUGAAAGUUUGCGGCUCAACCGUAAAAUUGCAAUUGAUACUGGCAGUCUUGAGUACAGUUGAGGUAGGCGGAAUUCGUGGUGUAGCGGUGAAAUGCUUAGAUAUCACGAAGAACUCCGAUUGCGAAGGCAGCCUGCUGGACUGUAACUGACGCUGAUGCUCGAAAGUGUGGGUAUCAAACAGGAUUAGAUACCCUGGUAGUCCACACAGUAAACGAUGAAUACUCGCUGUUUGCGAUAUACAGUAAGCGGCCAAGCGAAAGCGUUAAGUAUUCCACCUGGGGAGUACGCCGGCAACGGUGAAACUCAAAGGAAUUGACGGGGGCCC